rnacentral:rRNA from 1 species
GAGUUUGAUCUUGGCUCAGGGUAAACGCUGGCGGCGUGCCUAAAACAUGCAAGUCGAACGGACUAUCGCAAGAUGGUCAGUGGCAGACGGCUGAGUAACGCGUGGGUGACGUACCUGUUGGUGGGGAAUAACUGCCCGAAAGGGUGGCUAAUUCCGCAUAAGUCCUUCGGUUCGAUCUGAAGGGAAAGCUUCGCAAGAGGCGCCGAUGGAGCGGCCCGCGUCCGAUUAGCUGGUUGGUGGGGUAACGGCCUACCAAGGCGACGAUCGGUAGCUGGUCUUAGAGGAUGAUCAGCCAGACUGGGACUGAGACACGGCCCAGACUCCUACGGGAGGCAGCAGUUAGGAAUUUUGGGCAAUGGGCGCAAGCCUGACCCAGCAACGCCGCGUGGGUGACGAAGGCCUUCGGGUUGUAAGACCCUUUCUGAGGAGAUGAUGACGUACCUCAGGAAGAAGCACCGGCUAACUACGUGCCAGCCGCCGCAGUAAC